AUUGAACGCUGGCGGCAUGCCUUACACAUGCAAGUCGAACGGUAACGGGCCUUCGGGUGCCGACGAGUGGCGAACGGGUGAGUAAUACAUCGGAACGUGCCCGAUCGUGGGGGAUAACGAGGCCAAAGCUUUGCUAAUACCGCAUACGAUCUACGGAUGAAAGCAGGGGACCGCAAGGCCUUGCGCGGACGGAGCGGCCGAUGGCAGAUUAGGUAGUUGGUGGGAUAAAAGCUUACCAAGCCGACGAUCUGUAGCUGGUCUGAGAGGAUGAUCAGCCACACUGGGACUGAGACACGGCCCAGACUCCUACGGGAGGCAGCAGUGGGGAAUUUUGGACAAUGGGCGCAAGCCUGAUCCAGCCAUGCCGCGUGCAGGAUGAAGGCCUUCGGGUUGUAAACUGCUUUUGUACGGAACGAAAAGCCUUCUUUUAAUACAGGAGGGUCAUGACGGUACCGUAAGAAUAAGCACCGGCUAACUACGUG
rnacentral:rRNA from 1 species